GCUGGGUGUGGUGGUGCACACCUGUAAUCCUGGCUACUAGGGAGGCUGAGGCAGGAGAAUGGCUUGAACCCAGGAGGCGGAAGUUGCAGUGAGCCGAGAUUGUGCCACUGCACUCCAGCCUGGGUGACAGAGCAAGACUCUGCCUCAA
rnacentral:SRP_RNA from 2 species